AGACAAACGUGUCAAUACAGGAAAAUGAGCUAACUCUGUGGCUGGCGGGUCCUGAUGGCUGUACUAACUUUUCAUUACACGCCUCCAGUUUUGUCGGUACAUUGCUACUCAUCUGUUUGGAAAAGACAAUCUCAGAUCACGUAAUUCUGCUGUCUGUGCUGGCACUCCAUUCAGCAUGCAGCAGCCCUAAUUCUGAGAGAUCUAUGAUGAAAUUUGCAGAGGACACAGCAACAGAGAUCUCUGGAAUUACCCUGUAACAGAAGAGAAGGCCUCACCUGCUGCAUGGGAUUCACUUCGCUCGCUUCUGACCUGUACGCCCAACUCAUUGGGCAGUCAGGAGCCUCUUCCACACAAAUGGCAGAGAGGAUGGACCAGAAGGAAAAUUGAGGACAUUUGUGCAAGCUGGAAUGUAAGCGCUAUGAUCCACUGCUGGUAGACAAAACACAUCUGCAAAUCUAGCUCCUGUCUCAUACAAAUGUUCUCAUUUUACUCAUAUAGAAAUAAUUAGCUCAUGUAUAAAUAAAAUUUCAUCAUUCUUUUGUGAAAGAGGAAAA
rnacentral:lncRNA from 1 species